AAAUUUGGCUUUUAGCGACCAUUUCUUAACGAAGGGAUAUGAAUCCGGUCUUGAUAAGUAUAAUUAUAGCGACGUAAUUUUUUCCCAGUCGUUAAAAGCUAAUCUCAGUUUAAUAUUAACGAGAGUAUAAUAUACGGACGUUAAAAAGUUAAAUAUCCCGUCAUUAAUCAUUAAAAAAAUAUAGUGCUAAAGUUUCCCUCUUUAUUUUUCACACCCACAUUUCUCUCCCCACCCCACUCUCCCCACCCCCUCACACCUAAAAGAAAAAAUAGAAAAUGCCCUCAGUUGUUUCUCUAUUUUUUAUGCAAAACUCAUUUAGAUCCUUCUCUUGUCGCUGCUCAGUGGUCAAGGUCAAUGUUGAAUACCCCUCUUGGAACGAUUUCCUAUCGGUUAGAUUUGAGCGCAUCCUCUCCAAGGUUGACAUUAAUGUUUGGUCAACCUUCAUCUCCAUCUUCUUCAAGUGAACAGUAGAUUCAUUUAUUAACAGUGUGUUGAAUGCUUUUGUUGCCGAGGGUCUAUCGGAAAUAUCCUCCUUACCCCACAAAGGUAGGGGUAAGGUCUGUGUACACCCACCCUCUCCAGACCCGACUUGUGGGACCAUACUAGAGGAGGAACAAGGCUUAUGUAGCAUCUUAAUGGAGAUACGGUCCACGAGUUGCAAGAGUACUGGAUUUUAGUUAUUUGGGUCCAGUUUAAUUUUGCUCUACUAUUUGGUAGAUAUAAAUUAUUGUUCAUGCGUUUUUAGAUGCCCAGCCUCUUUUUCUUUAAUAGGGAAUUCUUUGUUACUAUACUAAUAUGAAAUUGUUCUUUUUAACAGAUCAAGAAUUUGAAGUCUAAAGAACCUAUCCUCUAAGAAAGUACAGAUCAAGUUAGAGUACAAGUUUCUUUAGGAGUGGUUUAAAAAUGUUGUCUUAGUGUUCAUAUGCUGCAACUUUAUUUAUUCUUUUUAGGAGUUGACAAAAAUUAUGCCAUACAACUGGGAUGGGUAUGUUUUCUGGUAACGUGGAGCUUUAGUUUUGUGUUGACAAUGAAAUUUUAUAAUUAUUGAUUAUUUUUUAUCUUUUCAGUUUUGUG